ACUCAACAUUAAUUCUUUAAAAAGGGUGAGUUUAAGCUGUAAAAGCAUGCUGCAUAAACUGAAUUAGUUUCAGUGCUUAUUAGCAGAUCCUUGAUCAGUUUGUUAGCCCUAAACUUAUUUUUAAGGAGUUU
rnacentral:sRNA from 1 species